GCCCUCCUUUUUAUGGUCACAGACAUCCCUCAGGUGUACACUGGUCAUUCGAUGGGAGAAAAAUCAUUUUAAAAACUCAAGCAAGCUGGUGUUUGUCUCACAUCCUGCCAGAUAAAAGGUAU
ensembl:snoRNA